UGUAAUAAUAUUAUUUUGGGUUUGCUUCUGUAAAUUUAAUAUUUGUAUAUAUGAAUUUCCUGCUUUAUGCCUUGUUAAUGAAGUAUUAAAAAUUUUGUGAUGACCAAAUUUGAUUAAAUUGUGGAAAUUGCUUUGAAGUAAUUUGAAUUGGGUUGAUUUGAGUUUUAUUGGAGGUUGGGAGUUGUGGAAAACUUUUGGAAGUGCUUUUUACAGGU
rnacentral:misc_RNA from 1 species